rnacentral:pre_miRNA from 1 species
CGGUUACUCCCUCCGUCCGAAAAUACUUGUCAUCAAAAUAGAUAAAAAGGGAUAUAUCUAGAACUAAUAUACAUCUAGAUACAUCCCCUUUUAUUCAUUUUGAUGACAAGUAUUUUCGGACGGAGGAAGUAAUUA